CAGCCGCCGCGGUAAUACGAAGGGGGCUAGCGUUGUUCGGAAUUACUGGGCGUAAAGCGCACGUAGGCGGAUAUUCAAGUCAGGGGUGAAAUCCCAGAGCUCAACUCUGGAACUGCCUUUGAUACUGGGUAUCUUGAGUAUGGAAGAGGUGAGUGGAAUUCCGAGUGUAGAGGUGAAAUUCGUAGAUAUUCGGAGGAACACCAGUGGCGAAGGCGGCUCACUGGUCCAUUACUGACGCUGAGGUGCGAAAGCGUGGGGAGCAAACAGGAUUAGAUACCCGCGUAGUCCCUGUCUCUUAUAC
rnacentral:rRNA from 1 species